rnacentral:rRNA from 1 species
UACAGAGGUGGCAAGCGUUGUUCGGAAUUACUGGGCGUAAAGGGCGCGUAGGCGGUUCGUUAAGUCCUGUGUGAAAUCCCCCGGCUCAACUGGGGAACUGCACAGGAAACUAGCGGGCUUGAGUUCGGGAGAGGGAAGCGGAAUUCCGGGUGUAGUGGUGGAAUGCGUAGAGAUCCGGAGGAACACCAGUGGCGAAGGCGGCUGCCUGGGCCUGGCCUGACGCUGAGGCGCGAAAGCGUGGGGAGCAAUCCGG